rnacentral:rRNA from 1 species
UACGAAGGGGGCUAGCGUUGUUCGGAGUUACUGGGCGUAAAGGGCGCGUAGGCGGCUGUCCAAGUCAAGUGUGAAGGCCCGGGGCUCAACCCCGGAAAUGCACUUGAGACUGGGCGGCUUGAGGACGGGAGAGGAUAGUGGAAUUCCCAGUAUAGAGGUGAAAUUCGUAGAUAUUGGGAAGAACACCGGUGGCGAAGGCGGCUAUCUGGACCGUUUCUGACGCUGAGGCGCGAAAGCGUGGGGAGCAAACAGG